rnacentral:rRNA from 1 species
GACGAACGCUGGCGGCGUGCUUAACACAUGCCAGUCGAACGAUGAAGCCCAGCUUGCUGGGUGGAUUAGUGGCGAACGGGUGAGUAACACGGGGGCAACCUGCCCCCAACUCUGGGAUAACUCACCGAAAGAGGUGCUAAUACCGGAUACGAACUAGACAGAAAUCUGUACUAGUUGGAAAGUUUUUCGGUUUGGGAUGGGCCCGCGGCCUAUCAGCUUGUUGGUGAGGUAACUGCUCACCAAGGAUACGACGGGUAACCGGCCUGAGAGGGCGACCGGUCACACUGGGACUGAGACACGGCCCAGACUCCUACGGGAGGCAGCAGUGGGGAAUAUUGCGCAAUGGGCGAAAGCCUGACGCAGCGACGCCGCGUGAGGGAUGAAGGUCUUCGGAUCGUAAACCUCUUUCAGUAGGGACGAAGCGAAAGUGACGGUACCUAAAGAAGAAGCACCGGCUAACUACGUGCCAGCCGCCGCUGUAA